UGCUCGCUUCAGCAGCAUAUAUACUAAA
rnacentral:snRNA from 1 species